GACGAACGCUGGCGGCGUGCCUAAUACAUGCAAGUAGAACGCUGAAGAGAGGAGCUUGCUCUUCUUGGAUGAGUUGCGAACGGGUGAGUAACGCGUAGGUAACCUGCCUUGUAGCGGGGGAUAACUAUUGGAAACGAUAGCUAAUACCGCAUAACAAUGGAUGACACAUGUCAUUUAUUUGAAAGGGGCAAUUGCUCCACUACAAGAUGGACCUUCGUUGUAUUAGCUAGUAGGUGAGGUAAUGGCUCACCUAGGCGACGAUACAUAGCCGACCCGAGAGGGUGAUAGGCCACACUGGGACUGAGACACGGCCCAGACUCCUACGGGAGGCAGCAGUAGGGAAUCUUCGGCAAUGGGGGCAACCCUGACCGAGCAACGCGGCGUGAGUGAAGAAGGUGUUCGGAUCGUAAAGCUCUGUUGUAAGUCAAGAACGGGUGUGAGAGUGGAAAGUUCACACUGUGACGGUAGCGUACCAGAAAGGGACGGCUAACUACGU
rnacentral:rRNA from 1 species